CAGCAAGGUCAUCCUGGGUACAACAUGAUAGGCAGUGCUCUUCACCAAGAGGAAGUGUGGCCAUCCCUUUAGUGACCUCACCUACCCGAACAUUUCCCCGGUGGCUGGAUGAAGAGUACAAGCCCUCUGCUCCCAGUGUCUCCUGUCUGCAUGCGUCAGCAGCUCUCCCCAACUCUCUAGCCAGCAUGACCAGCAGAGUGAGCCGUCUGGAGGUCUUGAAGUCUACAGCCACAUCCCUCUCCAACCGAAUCGAGAGUGAGGCCCGCAAAUUGCUACUCACCUGUAAGGGCGGCCAGAGUUCAGAGUUGGGUGCAGACUUGCCAAAUCACUGGGCUAGAGUGGCGGCCGGCUCUAGUAUUGGCACUGUGGCGAAGCCAGAAUCCCCGGAGGAGGAGAACAUUCAGAAGCUGCUGUGUUUGGGCCUGACCUCCUAUGAUGGACCUCUUCCUGGAGUGGGACAUUUGGGCGCCGCCUUCAGAGAAUCGCAAGAACGAGCGGCAGACACGGGAAAAGGUGCAAUGACUCCCGGCACUGCAGACUCCGUCUUGUCCAGGCAAAGGGACGGCAGCCUGAGGCAGGCUGAAGAAGAACCAAUCAUGUCCUCCCACCACCACCAUAACCAUUACGGCUCCAAUGAGAGCUCCAUCAGCGAGGGCAGUCUGGCGGAGUGGAGGGCCGCUUCCCAGCAGCCAACCAAACCAUCCUUGCAUGUCGCACUUCUAGACAUGGAGCGCGUUCAGCCGGAGAGCACUCCUUUGCACAACAUCUCUGUCUUCAGUAGUGGGACAGAAACAUGCAGACUGUUCAGCAGUACAAUACCUCAAGAUCUGGAUGCCAGUAUGGCUGCCUGGAGAGAACUGACCAAGGGUAGUCCUCACAGUGUCAUUAACAUCUUCACCAAGAAUCUCCCCAGCAGCAGCAGAGUGACUAAGGGAAGAAGUGGGAGAUCCAGUCCUGUGUCCUGCCCUGGUCAUCCAGAAGGCCUUUAUGAGAAUAACAUCUCCUCACCAGGCAGUAACACCAAUGGCCACCCAAUCAUCAGGACUUCAAGCAGACACAGCAGCGUAGUAAACCACCAUGAAAGCAGUCCUCAAGAAGACUCGAAACGUCAGAAGUCAGGCACACAGUCCUAUUCCUCAGUGGGCUCUCCAGUAUCAUCUUCCUUCUCCUCUCCUAGUUUCCCAGACAUGGAUGGAAAUGUUGAUGUGACACUGGUGGGGGGUCUGGGCGGCGACUGGUCUCCUGUCAUCGAUCCUGGAUCUUUGGGCUCCGUGAAGGAAGGCGCUGCUGAAGGGAACUCUGCUCACGGUUCUCUUAACGGCUUGGACCCCGACAGCAGAGCGGGGAGU
ensembl:lncRNA